GGAGAGGUGGCCGAGCGGUUGAAGGCGCACGAUUGGAAUUCGUGUAUACGGUAUCCCCGUAUCGAGGGUUCGAAUCCCUCUCUCUCCGCCA
rnacentral:tRNA from 1 species